rnacentral:rRNA from 1 species
AGUGAACGCUGGCGGUAGGCCUAACACAUGCAAGUCGAACGGCAGCACAGUAAGAGCUUGCUCUUACGGGUGGCGAGUGGCGGACGGGUGAGGAAUACAUCGGAAUCUACUUUUUCGUGGGGGAUAACGUAGGGAAACUUACGCUAAUACCGCAUACGACCUACGGGUGAAAGCAGUGGAUCUUCUGACCUUGCGCGAUUGAAUGAGCCGAUGUCGGAUUAGCUAGUUGGCGGGGUAAAGGCCCACCAAGGCGACGAUCCGUAGCUGGUCUGAGAGGAUGAUCAGCCACACUGGAACUGGGACACGGUCCAGACUCCUACGGGAGGCAGCAGUGGGGAAUAUUGGACAAUGGGCGCAAGCCUGAUCCAGCCAUACCGCGUGGGUGAAGAAGGCCUUCGGGUUGUAAAGCCCUUUUGUUGGGAAAGAAAAGCAGCAGGUUAAUACCCCGCUGUUCUGACGGUACCCAAAGAAUAAGCACCGGCUAACUUCGUG